rnacentral:lncRNA from 1 species
CUGCGGACAGGUGGUUUCUGCAGCGCCUUUUGUCCAGCUGGCCGGGUUAGCCGGCAGGCUGCUCGGGACAGAGUCUGCCACUGAUCACACAGCGAAGCUGCCGCCUCAGUUACGGCCGUGCAGCAGUGAGCAGUCUCUUUUGAUGUACAUUCUGAAGAGCUUACACAACAGGACAGGGAUUUUUAGCACACUUCAGUUCUUUCCUGAAACAGCAGUGCUAAUGAGACUUGUCUUCCCAUGGAUUAUGUCUCAUGUUUCAUUGCAGAGCUCACCUGAACCCUUUUCCAUAGACAAGACAAAACAGAAGUCGGUCGUCAUGAGCCCUCAUAACUCCUACAACAGCUGUCAGUGUGAGACUUGAACAUUUUCUUCUCUACACCUCUUCCCCCAAAUGCAGCCACACAACACAUUCACAAUGAAGCAAAAUGCCUUGCCUCCCACUUUGAGCUGCACCCAGUGCGUGGAGCCUGAGAGCAGGGAAGAUGGGUGAUGUGAAGCUUCAGUCAGCCCUGUACCAGCAGGUCACUGAAUACUGGGUCCACAUGCUCUGAUGGGG